AUUUGUGACUAAAGAGGGAAAAAGGGCUUAUUCAUGAAUCUCCAUCAAUGAUAAAAAUAACACAAAACAAAAAUGAUACAAUAGUUCUUAGCAAAACAAAAACAGUGAACAAGACAAAACUCUCUCUAUUAUUCCCCCCCCCCUCAAAUUCAUGUCAAAUAAGCCAACCACUUUGAGGAAAAUAACAGUCUAAAAUGAAUUAAUGUUCAACAACAUAAACAAGGUUUUAUGAAGUAAAAAACUGGUUCAUUGUGCUUGAGUGGAAGAAAUAAGUGCCUAUCAGUGUAUGUGACAAUGCUUUAUAAACUAUGAAGCAAGAGCAAAGACAACAAAAUAGCUGACAUCAAAUAGUUCUAAUGUACUUUGUAAAGACAACACAUGAAAGGAAAAUGUGCAAUACUACAUAGUAUUUGAUUUCCACUAGGAAGUCAUUUUUAGCUAUCUUAUAUAAUGACAGUGAUGGAAACAUUGCACUACAUGGCCUCUAAUGUGUAUUAAAAUAAAUUACUGCAGGCUGACUACUACUACUACUAAUGAUAAAUUAUUCCUAUUAUUUUGUUUAAGUAAAACAAUGUUAAGUAAGUCAGAAAAGGAUGUGAAUCAAGACUUGAAGAAUGAGAAUUCAGACAAGAUGGUAUUUUAGAAUUAAAAAAGACAUUAACAAAGGUCUAUUUCUACUUACAUAGGUAGAUAAAGCAAAAGAAAUAAAUCUGCACAUCUCAAUUAUCAAUUCAGAAGUAAAAGCUGCUUAAUUCACAACCAACAUGUCCUCCAGAAAGUGAGUGAAUAUAUAAAACGUGAUACAUUUAGACAAUGGAAUAUAUUCAACGAUGAAAUGUUUUGCAUUAAGUAAAAGUCAAUCUAAAAAGGUUUCACAUUAUAUGAUUCCACCUAUAAACCAUUUUGGAAAAGCCCAAAAUGUGGAGAAACCACUGAUAUAAAAAUAUCAGUGGUUUCAAGAGUUGGUGGAAGUAGGGGGAAAUAGACCACACAGAAGGCUCUAGGAGCCAUGAAAGUAGUCUUUAUGUUACAGCACUGUGUAAUAAUGAUGCAGAGAUGUAUAUUAUUAUACAUUUGUCUACACCCACAGAACGUACAACAUCAAGAGUGAAAUCUAAUGUAAAUCUGGACUUUGGAAAAUUAUGACGUUUCAUUGAACUUCUGGGAAUCUGCUAUAGUAAUGUACGUGUUGAUAUUCACCUUGAGCUCUCUAGUAUGUCUGUCAACAAUCUGUUGAACAUUGAGAUUUGCCUCUUUCUGAGAAGUUACAGAAAUAAUGUGUUCUUCUGCUGCUGCUGUCAUUUCUGCCCGGAGUUCCAAAAGUGCUCGACUAAGUGCCUAAAAAUUAAAACGGUCUCUGUGGAGUUCAGGCUGAACUCACUGUACGAGCCAGGCUGGCCUUGAACUCGGCCAUCCUCCUGACGCAGCCUCUCUCUGGGAUUACAGGUGUGCACUCCAUGCCAGCUCACAGUACUUACUCUUCACACGUAUCUUGUGCUCUACUUAGCUGGCCUGUUUCCCAAGGUGAAAACAUUAUGUAAGAGUCAUUAAGACUGUAUGGAUUAUUAUGUUUAGUAUCUUGCACACUGCCUAGUGCAAGCAGGUAAUAUAAAUAAAAUCAAAAUCUGAA